rnacentral:tRNA from 1 species
GCCCUGGUGGCACAACGGUUAAGUGCUUAGCUGCUAACUGAAAGGCUGGUGGUUCACACCCACCCAGGGGCU